rnacentral:rRNA from 1 species
CAAGUCGUGGGGCAGCACAGGUAGCAAUACUGGGUGGCGACCGGCAAACGGGUGCGGAACACGUACGCAACCUUCCUUUAAGCGGGGAAUAGCCCAGGGAAACUUGGAUUAAUACCCCAUAAGACAGUGGGAUGGCAUCAUUCAGCUGUUAAAGCUACGGCACUUAAAGAUGGGCGUGCGGCUGAUUAGGUAGUUGGCGGGGUAAAGGCCCACCAAGCCGACGAUCAGUAACUGGUGUGAGAGCACGACCAGUCACACGGGCACUGAGACACGGGCCCGACUCCUACGGGAGGCAGCAGUAAGGAAUAUUGGUCAAUGGACGCAAGUCUGAACCAGCCAUGCCGCGUGGAGGAUGAAGGCCCUCUGGGUUGUAAACUUCUUUUAUUGGGGAAGAAACCUGUCUUUUCUAAGGCAGUUGACGGUACCCAUUGAAUAAGCACCGGCUAACUCCGUGCCAGCAGCCGCGGUAAUACGGAGGGUGCAAGCGUUAUCCGGAUUCACUGGGUUUAAAGGGUGCGUAGGUGGGNUAGGUAAGUCAGUUGGUGAAAUCUCCAAGCUUAACUUGGAAACUGCCGUUGAUACUAUUUAUCUUGAAUAUAGUGGAGGUGAGCGGAAUAUGUCAUGUAGCGGUGAAAUGCUUAGAUAUGACAUAGAACACCAAUUGCGAAGGCAGCUUGCUACACUAUUAUUGACACUGAGGCACGAAAGCGUGGGGAUCAAACAGGAUUAGAUACCCUGGUAGUCCACGCCCUAAACGAUGGAUACUCGACAUCAGCGAUACACUGUUGGUGUCUGAGCGAAAGCAUUAAGUAUCCCACCUGGGAAGUAC